rnacentral:tRNA from 1 species
CCAAUGAAGUAAAAAAAUUAUUACAUUUAGUUUCGACCUAAACCAAUGAGACUAAAUCUCCAUUGAGAA